rnacentral:rRNA from 1 species
AUUGAACGCUGGCGGCAGGCCUAACACAUGCAAGUCGGGCGAGCGGAGGACGGGUGAGUAAUAUAUGGGGACUGCCUGAUGGAGGGGGAUAACUAAUGGAAACGGUAGAUAAUACCGCAAACCAUAAGAUCACCCAUAUGGGAUUAGCUUGUAGGUAAGGUAAAGGCUCACCUAGGCGACAAUCCCUAGCUGGGCUGAGAGGAUGAUCAGCCACACUGGGACUGAGACACGGCCCAGACUCCUACGGAGGCAGCAGUGGGGAAUAUUGCACAAUGGGCGCAAGUCUGAUGCAGCCAUGCCGCGUGUAUGAAGAAGGCCUUCGGGUUGUAAAGUACUUUCAGUCGGGAGGCGUUACCGACAGAAGAAGCACCGGCUAACUCCGUGCCAGCAGCCGCGGUAAUAC